GAGGAUAAGACACCUCAAUUUAGCGAAGUUGAUCAAUUUUUACAUUGUUUCAAAACUAAAUAUACUUGGAAAAGAGAGCAUGAUGCCGUAGUUUUGGCUUCAUUUGACCAUCGCUUUUCAAAGCGUCUCUCAUCUAUGUUGGCUUACACACGUAAUAAGGGCGAGGAAAAAAGGCCUAAUUGGAUUGGUGAAAAUGUUUGGACUGCUUUGUGGAGGAAAUGGAACACAGAUGCUUACAAACAGAAGAGAGAAAAAGCAAAGACUAAUAGAGCAUCUGAGAGGGGUACCAGUACUCAUAAGGGAGG